AACCGGUUAGUAAUUCUAGAGCUAAUACAUAGCUGUCAUACCUGACUUUUCGGAAGGGUUGAAUUUAUUACAUAUUAAACUAACCCUGGCAACAGGAUAGUGAUGAUUCAUAAUAACUGAGCGGAUCGCGGCCUCGCCGCGACGAAUCGUUCAAGUUUCUGCCCUAUCAGCUUUCGAUGGUAGUGUAUUGGACUACCAUGGCGAUCACGGGUAACGGGGAAUUAGGGUUCGAUUCCGGAGAGGGAGCCUGAGAAAUGGCUACCACAUCUAACGAAGGCAGCAGGCGCGUAAAUUACCCAAUCCUACUUCUCGGAGGUAGUGACAAGAAAUAACAACUCGGGCCCCACUUGGGGCUACGGGAUUGCAAUGACAACAAUUUAAACCACUUAUCGAGUAACAAUUGAAGGGCAAGUCUGGUGCCAUCAUGCGCGCUAAUUCCAGCUCCAAUACCGUAUAUUAAAGUUGUUGCAUUUAAAAAGCUCGUAAUUGAAUUUCUGGACGGCGCUGUUCACAGCUCUCGCAGUCUGUUCAGGAGCCUGGUCAUCCGUAUGGGAAGCUAGCUCGUCCUUCGGUGGUCGGCUAGUGGAUCAUACACUUUACUUUGAAAAAAUUAGAGUGUUUCAGGCAGGCAAUUGCUUGGAUACUGCAGCAUGGAAUAAUGGAAUAGGACUUUGACCUAUUUGCUGGCUUCUUGAGGUCAAAGUAAUGAUUGAUAUGGACAGUUGGGGGCAUCCGUAUUUAAUUGUCAGAGGUGAAAUUCUUGGAUUUAUUAAUGACGAACUUAUGCGAAAGCAUUUGCCAAGGAUGUUUUCAUUAAUCACGAACGAAAGUUAGGGGAUCAAAGGCGAUCAG
rnacentral:rRNA from 1 species